CCUACGGGUGGCAGCAGUGGGGAAUAUUGCACAAUGGGGGAAACCCUGAUGCAGCAACGCCGCGUGAGUGAAGACGUAUCUCGGUCCGUAAAGCUCUAUCAGCAGGGAAGAUAAUGACGGUACCUGACCAAUAAGCCCCUGCUAACUCCGUUCCAGCCGCCGCGGUAAUACGUAGGGGGCAAGCGUUAUCCGGAUUUACUGGGUGUAACGGGAGCGUAAACGGGCGCGCAAGUCUGUAGUGAAAUCCCGGGGCUUAACACCGGAACUGCUUUUGAAACUGUGCGGCUGGAGUGCAGGAGGGGUAAGCGGAAUUCCUUGUUGAGCGGUGAAAUGCGUAGAUAUUAGGAGGAACACACGUGGCGAAGGCGGCCUACUGGAAUGUAACUGACGUUGAGGCUCGAAAGCGUGGGGAGCAAACAGGAUUAGAUACCCCUGUAGUC
rnacentral:rRNA from 1 species